GGCUGGGAGACACGCCCUACUAAGCCUGUGAGCCUGCAGCCACUCCGUCCCCCCCCCCGCCCCCCCCCGCCCCGCCCCACCACCGCUUUCCUGCACACCCCUCCACCCCACCCCGCCGGCUCCAAUCCUCCCGGCAGUUGGCAGAGUGGACUGAGGGGCCCUUGGUUCAAGGCCUGCAUCCUCUGCCCUCAGGUGACCUCCUGCAGGAAACAGGGAGCGAGCUGCUGCUGGAGGCCCCGCUGCCCGGCACACGCCCACCUGCUGCGGAGCCCAGGCCUGGCCCGAGGGCCAGCCCUGGGGGCCCCACGAGCCCCGAGCCUGGAGACAGACCUGUCAUUUCACUGGCCCCAGAGGCGUGACAACCGAGAACGUCUGCAGGGGGCUGAGAUGGCCCUUGAUCGAGGACCGGGGUCGGGGAGGCCCUGCAGACUGUGCAGACAGCGGAACCGGGGCUGCAGAGGGCAGGCGGAGGUCAGAGGCCUAGGCUUCCCUCCGACGCUGGCCUCGCCCAGGCUCUGUCCCGUCCCCUCCAUCCCUUCCCACCAGGGUCCACCCACCUCCAAGCAACAUGGCCCUGUCCUCUUCCAAAAACCCUCCGCAGCCACCAAGGAAGGGAGGAGGGCACACAAGGGCCCAGGUGGCCCCCGCGCCCUCCCAGCUUCCUCCUUCUCCAACCACAAGGACACGAGGCCCAAGGGACGGACGGACAAGUGGCGGGCACAGCCUUGCCUCCUGUGUCUUGGCUGAACCGCAGUUGCUUCCCCUCCUUUGGCAAAGCCACCUGGGCCCACGGCCCUCUUGCUCACCAACCCUGUGGCCCCCCAGGGCCGCCUGGCCUGGGCCCGAGGCUCCAGCUCACCACUGCUGGCCCGUCUUCCACCGCUCCUCUCCCCACGCCCCACCUAACUGCACGCUCUCUCCAUCUCCCCGGCCGGC
rnacentral:lncRNA from 1 species